UCACUACUUGCGUAGGCAGUCUCCUUAGAGUGCUCGGCAUUACCCGGUGGCAACUAAGGACAAGGGUUGCGCUCGUUGCGGGACUUAACCCAACACCUCACGGCACGAGCUGACGACAGCCAUGCAGCAUCUGUACAAGCUCCCCUUGCGGGACGCGGGCUUUCACCCGCCUUAGCUUGCUUUUCAAGCCCAGGUAAGGUUCUUCGCGUUGCAUCGAAUUGAACCACAUGCUCCACUGCUUGUGCGGGCCCCCGUCAAUUCCUUUGAGUUUCAACCUUGCGAUCGUACUCCCCAGGUGGGAUACUUAAUGGGUUGCCUCCGACACUGAGAUUUUACUCCCAACGUCUAGUAUCCAUCGUUUACAGCGUGGACUAC
rnacentral:misc_RNA from 1 species